GGACAAGCCUGCGCUGCCAGGAGACCUGAAAGAGCAGGUUAGGGAUAGACCAUUAUGGAGAGAACCUGCGAUCGCUAGGAGUCAAAAGUGACUCGAUGGCAUAAAGUCAGACGCACUCAGCACCUGCAGCCCGGGCUUUUGUGCAGAGGCCACCUCUCCACUGGUACCACCCCAGGGUCCUCUGCGCAGGCAGGCAACCAGGAACAUCGGGCACACAGCGAGGACCCUCGAUGCACGUUUACCUUUCCGAGGACCAGGGUGAUCUGUGGGCAGUGCUGGUUCCAUUCUUGUGUCUUGCAGAGCCCAGAAGGCCCUCCUCUGCCAUGCAAGGGGCAGGAUGGUUCCAGCCCUUCCUGCAAGCUCUGCAGCCUUCUGCUAAAUGAGGAAGAGCGGGAAUAGGGUAUUCUGAAGCUAGACCAGCCUCCUGAGCACUCCUGGGCUAUCAGGGCAAAGAGUGUGCUCAAAGUGGGUGCAUGGGGGGGUGGAGAGUUCAGGUGGUUAGGAACAGCAUGCGGGGGGAAAGGGCCGCAGCUGGAGACCACUGGAAAGUGAGCAUCUGCUCCCUUGUAGGGUUGCUCCUGAGAUCCUUUCAAGGGAAACAGAGCUAAACGCAACUGCUUGACUGCUAGCUCGUUCAUCUGCCAUACCCCUCCAGCCCCUUGAAGGGCCCAGACACCCCAUUUCUGUAGGAUCUAGACUGAAACAGUCAAACAACUGGGGAGCACCCAGGAGAUGCUAAGCUACCUCAAACCACUGAAAAUUAUUGCCAGCCCUUACAGCUCGUCCACACCCACAAACAAGUGCUCACAACCGCUGGGUUCAGAGACAGCCACACGCAUACAAGCAGAGGUUAAAACGCAGCUUGCUUGACACUGAGCCCAGCCACACCUAGGUCCUUGUAGCCAAUAAAUCAUAGUUAAACUUUGGCUUACCCUGCUGUGGGAAUAGCCACUCACCUUCAGUUUGGUUUUAGGAACUACAUGGUUUCUGCAUUUUGGCUCCCACUUGCAGAUGCCCGUCCCUAAUCUCUUUUCCUGUAUUUUACAGCACUGAACAGCACAUCCCACGCUGUCAGGAUUCUUAAACGUUUUUGGACCUUCCCGUGGUCUUACAACUUUUGGAGGGCAGGAACUCCGGUGCCGUAAUGCAACCUGUGUUGCAAGCUCCAAACUGCCGUUUUGCACAGCCAGUCAGGAAGCAGAAGUUGGAAACCACUGAAAGUGACACCGAGCACCCUGGUGUGCUGUUAACUCAUUCCCAUUCCUUCUUGGGAGGACAAGGGGGGGGGCUGACACCUUGGCCUCCAACCUGAGUGACAGAGGUUCCAACUUCCCUACGCUGGAGGAGUUAGCAGUGAGAUGGUCAGAGCAGAUUUGUCCUCCAAUGAGUCAGAGAGCUGGAAGUUUUAUCCCUUUGGUGAAGUCCUACAGUGGCUGCUGAGCUCUGUGCAACAGCUGCAUCUUCUUGAAAUCCUGAGUGGGACGCCCUAUGGAACAGCAUCCUUCUGGAAAUCUGGACAGCCCCGACCCCGUUAGCCUUUCGCAAGGCUUUGGAGAACUGGUUGUCUCCUCAGGUGUUUAAGUCAGGUCGAGUAAAAUAACCAACACCCACAAGCCUCCAGUCAAUAAGAACCAAACCCAACAAUAAGAAUGAAGGAACAUUUUUACUGCAAAAAAGAAAAGCUCCAGGUGCAAUGUCUGGCCGUCAGACUCUGGGUACAAUGCUUUUGCAAAGAAUCGGCUGCUAGCUUUCAGAUGCCACACACCCAACGGGCAGAUAACCCGUGACAAGCUCUGCCACCUUUCAUGCAGCUGUGAAUUAUUU